GGUUAAGCGACUAAGCGUACACGGUGGAUGCCCUGGCAGUCAGAGGCGAUGAAGGACGUGCUAAUCUGCGAUAAGCGUCGGUAAGGUGAUAUGAACCGUUAUAACCGGCGAUUUCCGAAUGGGGAAACCCAGUGUGUUUCGACACACUAUCAUUAACUGAAUCCAUAGGUUAAUGAGGCGAACCGGGGGAACUGAAACAUCUAAGUACCCCGAGGAAAAGAAAUCAACCGAGAUUCCCCCAGUAGCGGCGAGCGAACGGGGAGGAGCCCAGAGCCUGAAUCAGUGUGUGUGUUAGUGGAAGCGUCUGGAAAGGCGCGCGAUACAGGGUGACAGCCCCGUACACAAAAAUGCACAUGCUGUGAGCUCGAUGAGUAGGGCGGGACACGUGGUAUCCUGUCUGAAUAUGGGGGGACCAUCCUCCAAGGCUAAAUACUCCUGACUGACCGAUAGUGAACCAGUACCGUGAGGGAAAGGCGAAAAGAACCCCGGCGAGGGGAGUGACCCCGGCGAGGGGAGUG
rnacentral:rRNA from 1 species